rnacentral:rRNA from 1 species
GAUGAACGCUAGCGGCAGGCCUAACACAUGCAAGUCGAGGGGUAUAGAAGAGCUUGCUUUUCUUGAGACCGGCGCACGGGUGCGUAACGCGUAUGCAACCUACCUUUUACAAAGGGAUAGCCCGGAGAAAUCCGGAUUAAUACCUUAUAGUAUUGUUUCAUAUCCUUAUGAAGUAAUUAAAGUUUCGGCGGUAAAAGAUGGGCAUGCGUCCUAUUAGCUAGAUGGAGUGGUAACGGCACCCCAUGGCAACGAUAGGUAGGGGUCCUGAGAGGGAGAUCCCCCACACUGGUACUGAGACACGGACCAGACUCCUACGGGAGGCAGCAGUGAGGAAUAUUGGACAAUGGGCGAGAGCCUGAUCCAGCCAUGCCGCGUGCAGGAAGACUGCCCUAUGGGUUGUAAACUGCUUUUAUACAAGAAGAAUAAGGGAUACGAGUAUUCCGAUGACGGUAUUGUAUGAAUAAGCACCGGCUAACUCCGUGCCAGCAGCCGCCGUAAAAC